rnacentral:rRNA from 1 species
UAGGGAAUCUUCGGCAAUGGACGAAAGUCUGACCGAGCAACGCCGCGUGAGUGAAGAAGGUUUUCGGAUCGUAAAACUCUGUUGUUAGAGAAGAACAAGGACGUUAGUAACUGAACGUCCCCUGACGGUAUCUAACCAGAAAGCCACGGCUAACUACGUGCCAGCAGCCGCGGUAAUACGUAGGUGGCAAGCGUUGUCCGUAUUUAUUGGGCGUAAAGCGAGCGCAGGCGGUUUCUUAAGUCUGAUGUGAAAGCCCCCGGCUCAACCGGGGAGGGUCAUUGGAAACUGGGAGACUUGAGUGCAGAAGAGGAGAGUGGAAUUCCAUGUGUAGCGGUGAAAUGCGUAGAUAUAUGGAGGAACACCAGUGGCGAAGGCGGCUCUCUGGUCUGUAACUGACGCUGAGGCUCGAAAGCGUGGGGAGCAAACAGG